rnacentral:rRNA from 1 species
GUCUACGGCCUUACUACCCUUGAACGUGCCUGAUCCUGUCUGAUCUCGGAAGCCAAGCAGGGUCGGGCCUGGUUAGUAUUUGGAUGGGAAUGUUGUCUCAUGUCAUAAGGCAAUAAUAGAUGAUUUAAUCC